UACGUAGGGGGCAAGCGUUGUCCGGAUUUAUUGGGUUUAAAGGGUGCGUAGGCGGCCUAAUAAGUCAGUGUGAAAUCUCCGAGCUUAACUCGGAAACUGCCGUUGAUACUAUUUGUCUUGAAUAUUGUGGAGGUAAGCGGAAUAUGCCAUGUAGCGGUGAAAUGCUUAGAUGUGACAUAGAACACCAAUUGCGAAGGCAGCUUACUACACAAUGAUUGACGCUGAGGCACGAAAGCGUGGGGAUCAAACAGG
rnacentral:rRNA from 1 species